rnacentral:pre_miRNA from 1 species
AUCACCCAGGGAUCUUGCAAAAAGGCAGAUUCUGAUCCAGCGAAUCUAGGGCAGGGCCAAAGAUUCUGCAUUUCUAACAUGUUUCCAGGUGAUGCUAA